CCAAUAGCGUAUAUUAAAGUUGUUGCAGUUAAAAAGCUCGUAGUUGAACUUCGGGGUUUACUCAUUGGUCAGGCUUAAUUGUCUGUACUGGUGAGAUGAAUCUCUACCUUCUGAGGAACUUUCAUGCCAUUUAUUUGGUGUGAUGGGAAAUCAGUACUGUUACUUUGAAAAAAUUAGAGUGUUUAAAGCAGGCUAACGUCUGAAUACAUUAGCAUGGAAUAAUGAAAUAGGACGGACUGAUUCUAUUUCGUUGGUUUCUAGGAUCACCGUAAUGAUUAAUAGGGAUAGUUGGGGGCAUUAGUAUUCAAUUGUCAGAGGUGAAAUUCUUGGAUUUAUUGAAGACUAACUACUGCGAAAGCAUUUGCCAAGGAUGUUGUCAUUAAUCAAGAACGAAAGUUAGGGGAUCGAAGACGAUCAGAUACCGUCGUAGUCUUAACCAUAAACUAUGCCGACUAGGGAUCGGACGAAGUUAAUUUUAUAAUGACGCGUUCGGCACCUUACG
rnacentral:rRNA from 1 species